CUACGGGGCGCUGCAGUGAGGAAUAUUGCGCAAUGGGCGAAAGCCUGACGCAGCGACGCCGCGUGGAGGAUGAAGGCUUUAGGGUCGUAAACUCCUGUUAAGUGGGAAGAAAGACUUUUUCUUAAUAGGAAAAAGGGAUGACAGUACCAUUAGAGAAAGCACCGGCUAACUUCGUGCCAGCAGCCGCGGUAAUACGAGGGGUGCAAGCGUUAUUCGGAAUCAUUGGGCGUAAAGGGUGCGUAGGCGGUAACCUAAGUCAACUGUUAAAUACUCCGGCCUAACUGGAGAUCAGCGGUAGAUACUGGGUUACUAGAGGAUGGAAGAGAGAAGUGGAAUUCUCGGAGUAGCGGUAAAAUGCGUGGAUCUCGAGAGGAACACCAAUGGCGAAGGCAGCUUCUUGGUCCAUUUCUGACGCUGAGGCACGAAAGCGUGGGGAGCAAACAGGACUAGAUACCCCAGUAGUC
rnacentral:rRNA from 1 species